UGCCAGACUCCUACGGGAGGCAGCAGUGGGGAAUAUUGGGCAAUGGGCGCAAGCCUGACCCAGCAACGCCGCGUGAAGGAAGAAGGCCCUCGGGUUGUAAACUUCUUUUAACAGGGACGAAGAAAGUGACGGUACCUGUUGAAUAAGCCACGGCUAACUACGUGCCAGCAGCCGCGGUAAUACGUAGGUGGCAAGCGUUAUCCGGAUUUACUGGGUGUAAAGGGCGUGUAGGCGGGAGAGCAAGUCAGACGUGAAAUUCCAGGGCUCAACCCUGGAACUGCGUUUGAAACUGUUGGUCUUGAGUAUCGGAGAGGCAGGCGGAAUUCCUAGUGUAGCGGUGAAAUGCGUAGAUAUUAGGAGGAACACCAGUGGCGAAGGCGGCCUGCUGGACGACAACUGACGGUGAGGCGCGAAAGCGUGGGGAGCAAACAGGAUUAGAUACCCUAGUA
rnacentral:rRNA from 1 species